CUUAUGGAUAAUGCUCCUGCUCACCCUCCAGGAUUUGGGGAAGAAUUAAUGGAGGAGUUCAGUUUUAUUGCUGUGAAGUAUCUAGCCCAUGGACCAGCAAGUCAUUUCAAACUUCAAGAAGCGUUACACCAAAGCACUGUUCCAAAGGUGAUUUGAAGUAACCUCAGUCACAGAGCUAACCCUUAGAGAGUUCUGGAAAAAUCAUUU